CACUUUCUAAAUCCGUGCCGAGAUUUUAUUGCACACCAAUCCACCAGAAUUGAUUAAACUUCCAUGAUAAGUAAAUUA
rnacentral:pre_miRNA from 1 species